ensembl:snoRNA
UUGGCCCUGAAUCAAGACCAGUGGUUUGCUUUUGUAGCUGUUGGUUUCUAAUAGGAGCCAAGAGUGAUGUCUUCCUUGAGGUCUGUUGGCUAUUUGAUAUCCCCAUGUGAAUGGCCAAUUUGGUUAGAAGAAACAGUC